GUCAGUAACCCAGCCCUAAAGGGACUGAGCUUGUUUGAGAAAUCAAGCAAGCUGUACUGACCAGACCACCUGACAACAGGUAAACGUUAUUUGAGUCACGACACCCUGCGGAUGCGUAGCUAGUCCCCUGCUCUGUC
rnacentral:sRNA from 17 species